AGGGAAUCUUCCGCAAUGGGCGAAAGCCUGACGGAGCAACGCCGCGUGAGUGAUGAAGGUCUUCGGAUCGUAAAACUCUGUUAUUAGGGAAGAACAUAUGUGUAAGUAACUGUGCACAUCUUGACGGUACCUAAUCAGAAAGCCACGGCUAACUACGUGCCAGCAGCCGCGGUAAUACGUAGGUGGCAAGCGUUAUCCGGAAUUAUUGGGCGUAAAGCGCGCGUAGGCGGUUUUUUAAGUCUGAUGUGAAAGCCCACGGCUCAGCCGUGGAGGGUCAUUGGAAACUGGAAAACUUGAGUGCAGAAGAGGAAAGUGGAAUUCCAUGUGUAGCGGUGAAAUGCGCAGAGAUAUGGAGGAACACCAGUGGCGAAGGCGACUUUCUGGUCUGUAACUGACGCUGAUGUGCGAAAGCGUGGGGAUCAAACAGGAUUAGAUACCCUGGUAGUCCACGCCGUAAACGAUGAGUGCUAAGUGUUAGGGGGUUUCCGCCCCUUAGUGCUGCAGCUAACGCAUUAAGCACUCCGCCUGGGGAGUACGACCGCAAGGUUG
rnacentral:rRNA from 1 species